CCACCCCCUCCAAAUUCUACUCAGACUUCACCACCCUGGCCCCUGGGGUACAAGCGUGGUUCAGGCUAAGCCAGAGUCCCUCGCUGAGAUGUUACCUCUAAAGCCAUCAGCCAGGAGAGGAAAAGUGGCUUCCAUUGGUUACAAGGUUGUAAGGGGAGAACUAGGAGUGCCCCAAGGCCAUAUUCUGGCCUUAGUGGGCAGCCAGCUUGAGAGAAAGAAAGAGAAAACCAUGCUGAAGAAAGCCAGGCAGGGACAGAUGGACAGAUAGAGUUUAAGUCGCUGGCCUGCCAGGGCUCCCCAGGGCCAGCUCUAGUGUGGCACUUUCCUCAGAGCAGUUACAUGAGACAAUAUAGUCCCUCCCUUUUCCUUUUAGCUAGGGUGGGUCCUGUCCCCACCUGUGUAGGCAGAGGAGCCCUGAGCAAUGAGCACACUGCACUUAUUCAGCGGCAGCUGAAGUGAUUCAGGAGGAUGGCCUUGAAGGUUGUGGAGGAGAGAGAGCAUCCAGGGCGAAGACGACGACGUGAAAGAAGGCUCUAGGGGCUGGGCAUUGUGACUCACGCCUGUAAUCCCAGCAGUUUGGGAGGCUGAGCAACUUACAGUAGAAACCCCUGCCUGAAAUGGACAACUUCUCUGACUGAUCUAUUUC
rnacentral:lncRNA from 1 species